rnacentral:tRNA from 1 species
GGCUCUGUAGCUCAGUAGUUCGAGUGCUGGCCCUGCAAAUCAGAGGCAGAGAGUUUGAAUCUUGCCUAGGCCU